rnacentral:lncRNA from 1 species
AAAAGGUUACCCGAUUUAAGAAAGCAAAAGCGCUGCAGCAAUGCAUUGAAGCAAAAAAGUUAUUAGACUUUUUCCUAUAAACAUAAAAUUCAGAAAAAAGAAAAAGGCCUUUGGUAUCUCAUAGUUAGCAAGUUCUAAAUUCUAAAUAAAUUUGAGGUCAUUCAGAAAGUAACACAAUGGAUAAGUAAAAUUCACCAAAAGUAAAAUUUACUAACACAUAGCAUGCCAAUAAACUAUCAUAUAUGUAAAUGACAUCAAUCCAACCCCGUUGACCCCAUCUCAAUAGUUAGCAUUGUUCUUAUCUAAAUGAUAAACCCUACUAGUCAGAUCUGAACACAAUAGAAUGAUAACAACAAAGGCAUUCCUCAUCAAAUUCAAACCCAAUAGAACCUCAAUUUGUAUAUCAACAAUACAUGUCAGAAACCACAUGAAACAAGUUAAGGAACCAAACCCUUUCUUGCAAUACGAUCUUCCUCCGUCUCUAGAGAGUACCAAAUCGUCCAAUAGAAUCAAUCAGUCAUAACCUGCAACAAGUAAGUCACAGUAAGUCGUAAGCGUGAAUCGCACCAUAGCAUUGAAAUCGAAAAAAUGAGACAAAAAGGGGAAAAUGGUUGUAUGCAUGAAUGUAGACAGAAAGAGGUUUGAAUUGCAUCAUAGCAGGCGCAGCGAUGAACGGGAGAGAGAGAAGCCAUCAGAGUGAAGAUAUACAAGGUUGAAUCAUGAAUCGAAACAAUGUAAAUCAAAACGAACCUGAACCAAAGUAGAAUCGGAAAAAACCGAAGUAUAAUCGCAAGAUGAGAGUCUUCAAUCCAUGGCUUGAAUCCAUCACUCAGUGAGAAUCUUCAAUCCAUGGCUUCAAUCCAUCAUCCACAACGAAGAUGAGUUAGGGUUCAGAAGAUGAG